AUGGAGGCGGGCGCCGGGGCCGGCGCGGGCGCCUCGGGCUGGAGCUGCCCGGGCCCAGGACCCACAGUGACCACUUUAGGCUCCUAUGAGGUGUCGGAGGGUUGUGAGAGGAAGAAGGGCCAACGCUGGGGGUCUUUGGAACGGCGGGGGAUGCAAGCUAUGGAGGGGGAAGUGUUACUCCCAGCUCUCUACGAGGAGGAAGAGGAGGAGGAGGAGGAAGAAGAGAUGGAAGAAGAGGAUGAUCCAGGGCAGAAAGGCGGCAACGCAGGCUCCCUGUCGGUUAGCAAGCACCGAGGCCUGAGCCUCACGGAGACGGAGCUGGAGGAGCUGAGGGCUCAGGUGCUGCGGCUGGUGGCAGAACUGGAGGAGACCCGGGAGCUGGCAGGGCAGCACGAAGAUGACUCUCUGGAGCUGCAGGGGCUCCUGGAGGACGAGCGGCUGGCCAGCGCCCAGCAGGCAGAGGUGUUCACUAAGCAGAUCCAGCAGCUCCAGGGUGAGCUGCGGUCCCUGCGGGAGGAAAUUUCCCUGUUAGAGCGUGAAAAAGAAUGUGAACUUAAGGAAAUAGAACAGGAGUUGCAUUUAGCCCGGGCUGAGAUCCAGACUCUGCGGCAAGCAGCGGAGGACUCCGCGACUGAACACGACAGUGACAUAGCCUCCCUGCAGGAGGACAUCUGCCGGAUGCAGAAUGAACUCGAGGACAUGGACCGAAUCCGAGGAGAGUAUGAGAUGGAGAUCACCUCCCUCCGUGCAGAAAUAGACAUGAAGAACUCUGACCCUUCCAAUAGUUUCAGUCUCUCAGAUUUCUCUGAGAUGCAAGAAGAGUUGCAGCAACUGCGGGAACGCUACCACUUCCUGAACGAGGAGUACCGGGCCCUGCAGGAGAGCAACAGCAGCCUCACAGGGCAGCUUGCAGAUCUGGAGAGUGAGAGGACACGAAGAGCAACAGAAAGAUGGCUGGAGUCCCAAACGCUACGGACUAUGAGGUCAGCAGAGUCUCAGACCUCAGAAGAGGAUUUCCUGGAGCCCGAUCCUGGAAUGCAUUUGUUGCGGCAGCAGCUACUGGGAGCCAAGGAGCAGAUGCAUGACAUGCAGAGCAAGUGUAAGAAAUUGACUUGUGAGUUGCAAGAGCUACAUCACCAUCGCCGGACCAGUGAGGAGGAGCAGAAGCGGCUGCAGAGGGAGCUAAAGUGUGCACAGAAUGAGGUGCUUCGGUUUCAGACGUCCCACAGCGUCACCCAGAACGAGGAGCUGAAGACCAGACUCUGUGCCCUGCAGCAAAAGUACGAUGCUAGCCAGGAUGAGCAGAGUGAGCUCUUGAAGGUGCAGCUACAACUUCAGGCUGAGCUCCGGCAGCUCAAAGUCAUGAAAAGCACAGUAGAAAGCCAGAGUGAGAAGAGUGCAGAGGUCCACGCCCAGCUGCAGGAGACGAAGCGGCUGUACCAGUGCAGCCAGGAAACGCUGGACCGGCAGAAGCACAUGUAUGACCAGCUGGAGCAGGACUUCCUACUCUGCCAGCAGGAGCUGCAGCAGCUCAGGAGCACCCAGUCCAUCCUAGAGGACAAGGGGAAGUGUGCUAAUAAGUGUGACGCGCUGCUCUUCAGACUGACAGAAUUGCAGGAGAGUUACAAGGCCAGCCAGAAGGAGAUGGCGCAGAUGCAGAUGGAGCAGUGCGAGCUCCUGGAGGAACAGAGGAGGAUGCAGGAGGAGCAGGGCCAGCUACAAGAAGAGCUGCACAGGCUCACGUUCCCGCUCCCCAAGUCUGGUCUCUUCCACAAGAGUCAGGAGCUCCUCACAAAGUUACAGGACCUGUGUGAAGUGCAGAUGCUCUACCAAGGCAUGCAGGAGGAGCAGAAGAAACUGAUACAGAACCAAGAGAACAUAGUAAAAGAACAGUUAGAACUGCAAGGAGCCCUGCACCAUUUCAAGGAGUCCAGCUUCCGGGAAGUGUUGGAGAAUCCCGAGGAUCCCAAAUGGCCUAAGUCCUCAAAGUGUGGUCACAACAAGUCCAAGAUGAUCAUCGCCCAGAUGCAGGCCCUGCAGGAGCUGUACGAGGCCAGUGAGACCGAGCAGGAGCUGCUCCAGCAGGAGCAGGAGCGGCUUCUGGAGGAGCGGAAGAGGCUGCAGGCCGACCUGCAGCUCUGUCUGGAAGAAAUGCAGCUGCUCCAAGACCAGUCCCCUGCAAUCAAGAUGAGCCUGGACUCCUACAGGAAGAGUUACGCGAGCACGACCACCAGCAACGAGAACUGCCACAAGAGCUGCAACCUCAAUGACGAUGAGGGCUACCAGAAGAGCUACGGCAGCAGCCAGGCCAGUGAAGAGAGCCUCCUCAAGAGCUACGAAAGCAGCACAGAUGCCAGCGAGUCCUGUCAGCGGAGCUACCUCAGCAGCAGCAGCAGCAGCUCCGACACCUAUAAGAGGAGCUAUGGCAGCAGCAGCAGCAGCUCCGUCACCUGUCACAAGAGUUACGUCAGCAGCAGCAUGGACGACGAGCUGGCCGAGCCUGGAGAUGUGGAGCACCUUGAGGACGUGGUCGCCAAGGUGCUGAUCAAGCUGCAGGGUGUGCAGGCCAUGUACCAGCUCAGCCAGGAAGAGCACAAGCUGCUGCAGCAGCGGAUGAAGAAGCUGCUGGAUGAGCAGAAAGAGCUCAAGGAGGAGCUGGACGCCUGCGAGAAGGAAUUCAAGGAGUGCAUGGAAGGCCUUGAGAAGCCCGUCGCCUCCCAAAACGACAAGGACAAGAAUGAGAUCAAGGAACUGCAGGCCAAGCUGCGGGAGCUGCAGCUGCAGUACCAGGCCAGCAUGGAUGAGCAGGGGCGGCUCCUGGCCGUGCAGGAGCAGCUGGAGGGGCAGCUACAGUGCUGCCAGGAAGAGCUCCGCCAGCUCAAAGAGAAGAAGUCCUCUGUUACCAAGGAAAUCAGGGGCAAGAACGGCAACAAGAACAUGAACAAGAACGCCAAUGGGGUGAAAAAUAAAAAGGUGGCCAAGCCAAGCGUAGAGAGUACUGAGAGCGGCCUUGAGACUACAAAGAGUCUGGAGGUGGUGCUGUACUAUAAGGCCAGCCACACAUCCUUGGAUGGUCCAACAAAGGAGGAGGAGAAAGAGGAAAAGAAGGAGGAAACAAAGGAGGAGUCCCAGGACAGAAUGGUUUCUGAGCCAUCAGGUCCUAAAGAGGUUAAGUUCAAAGACGAUCAGGAGGAGAAAGACGAAGAGUUCCCCAACCAGGAGGGUAAGGACGAAGACGACCAGGAGGAGGAGGAUGAUGAAGAAGCUUCAGAGGAAAGCAACCCCCUCAAACUUUCUGAGAGCAAAAAGAACAUGUUUGGGAUGUGGAAGCCUGUGGUGUUCUUGGCUCUUGCAGCUGUGGCUCUGUAUGUGUUACCCAACAUGCGACCGCAGGAGACAGAGUUCUGCCUCAUGGAGUGA
rnacentral:lncRNA from 1 species